rnacentral:rRNA from 1 species
CCUACGGGAGGCAGCAGUGGGGAAUAUUGCACAAUGGGGGGAACCCUGAUGCAGCGACGCCGCGUGGGUGAAGGAGUAUUUCGGUAUGUAAAGCCCUAUCAGCAGGGAAGAACAAUGACGGUACCUGACUAAGAAGCACCGGCUAAAUACGUGCCAGCAGCCGCGGUAAUACGUAGGGUGCAAGCGUUAUCCGGAUUUACUGGGGGGAAAGGGAGCGCAGGCGGCGCGGUAAGCCUGGGGUGAAAGCCCGCGGCCGAACCGCGGGACUGCAGUGGAAACUGGCGGGCUGGAGUGCCGGAGGGGUAGGCGGAAUUCCUGGUGUAGCGGUGAAAUGCGGAGAUAUUGGGAGGAACACC